AGUUCCCACCACACUGGCAGAGUCUACUACUCAGAUCAUUACUGAAGCUCCCACCACACUGGCAGAGUCUACUACUCUGACAAUAACUGCAGUACCUAUAACACCAGAAGAUACUACUACAAUAGCAUUAACUGCAGCUCCCAUCACACCAACAGAGUAUACUACUCUGACCACUACUCAAGCUCCCACCAAAGAGUCUACAACACUGGCUGAGUCUACAACACAGGCAGAGUCGACAACACUGGCUGAGUCUUCUACUGUAACCAUAACCCCGGCUCCUUCAACACUGACUGAGUCUACUACUCAGACCAUUACGGAAGCUCCCACCACACUGGCUGAGUUUACUACUCUGACCAUUACUGAAGCUCCCACCACAGAGUCUACAACACUGACUGAGUCUACAACACAGGCAGAGUUUACUACACAGCCAAUGUCUUCUAUUGUGACCAUAACUGCAGUUUCAUCAACAAAUACUGUAGCUCUUAGCACUAGUAUCCCAACUGAACGUCCUACUACUAACGGAAACACAACUCUUUCUGAAAUUCCUACAACAAUAAUAACUGCAGCUCCCACUACUAAGUUGGAGACUACCAUUUCUACAACUGCAGUGCCUCCAGUGACAAAUACAACUCAAGGUCAUACAUUAACAGUCACAUCUGCACUUCCUACAAUGACGACCGCUUCAUCUCCUACAACGACCGUUAUAACCAAAGCUGUCACUAUGAACACAAACACUGCAGGUUUUACUAUGACUGCCAGUAGUGUAGUUCCUAAUACAACAAGCACAACUGCAUUUCCUACUACAAACAUAACUGCUGCUCCGACUAAGAACACAACCGCACUUCCUGCUACGAACAUAACUGCUGCUCCAACUAAGAUCACAACUGCAUUUCCUUCUACGAACAUAACUGCUGCUCCAACUAAGAUCACAACUGCAUUUCCUACUGCGAACAUAACUGCUGCUCCAACUAAGAUCACAACUGCAUUUCCUUCUACGAACAUAACUGCUGCUCCAACUAAGAUCACAACUGCAUUUCCUACUACGAACAUAACUGCUGCUCCAACUAAGAUCACAACUGCAUUUCCUACUACGAACAUAACUGCUGCUACAACCGCUCAAACUCUAGCUUCUACUGCAAAGACCACAGCUGCAACUCCUAUUACAAACACUACUACUAAGACUGCAACUAGCACAGCUGCAUUUUCUACAACAAACAACACUGCUUCUACUACUAGGAUUGCAACAGUAUCUACUCCCAAGACCCCAGCUUCAGCAACAUCUAUGAUAUCAACCACAGCAAAUGUCACCAAACCUCAAGCUUUGACUACGAACACAACUCCCACCCUGGCCACAACAACCCAAACAACUAAAAUUCCUUCCACAACAACAAAAACAACAAUAACAACAACAAGAGCAACAACAACAACAACUGCAGCUCCUAUUCCUCCAGUAGUAUUUGCCUUACAAGUUACCGUACAGUAUGUCUUUAUACCAGCUUUGAAUGAUCCAGGAAGCCAAGCAUUCCAAGCGCUUGCAGUGACCGUGACUACAGUGUUUAAUGCCAUAUACAGCGCGCAAUAUGGGAUUUUUUUCAUCAAGACGAUUGUCAUUGGAUUCAUACCCGUUUCCAUUACCCGCAGUGUGGACCAAGACACACAAGCUCAGGUGGAAUUGGUGUUUAACCAGACCGCCAUUGCAGCCGCUAACAACAGUGCAAACGUGCCUGGGGUCAAUUCAGUUGCAGAAACCCUGAAAACGGCUGUGACCAAUCCCAACAUAACCCAAAACCUGUCUGUGAUCGUAAACUCUAUCUCCGUUAUGCAGGUAAUGACCCCGAAUGUCACCACGAAUGUCACAACAAAUACAACGGCUUCUCCUGUCAUCACCACAAGUCAAACGGCUUCUCCUGUCAUCACCACAAUUCAAACGGAUUCUCCUGUCAUCACCACAAGCAAAGCUGCCGUCGCAACUAGUCCAACAACCGCGACCAUGCAGACCGCCAUUGCACUCAUCGUAUUGUCUCUGGAGUUUAAGACUACUGAGACAUUUACCAAUGACCUUUCAAACUCAACCUCACCGGCCUUUCAAACACGAGCGCUACUGAUUAAAACCACAAUAGAACCUUUCUACCGAUCAGCGUUCCCAACUUUCAACAGUUUGACGGCUACAAAGUUUAGACCUGGAUCAAUCAUUAGCACCAUUAAUUUAGCUUUCAGCUCCUCCUUCGUACCAAAUGCCAGCAGCAUUGGCACUGUUCUGAUUAACGCUGCGCACAACAUUACAGCAUUCCCUAUUGACCCCACCUCAAUUACAGUCAAUGGCACAGCUAUAACCUCAAGUGGAGUAAGCAGCAAGACCAGUCUCCUAACUGCUUCCUAUCUGGUGGUUUUGUCAUUUCUGCUGUCAAGAUAAUGUCUCUUGGAAUUUACACUCUUGAAAUCUUAAUGGUAUUUACCUGUCUUAAUGGUACCAUCUGAAAAUUGUUGCAUUCAGUUACAAAGAUGCAGACGUGUGACCAAGUCACAUUUUUGAAAGUCCUAAGCAAGUCUCAGGUUAAGACCUGAAAAAUAUUAUGUCUGAUUAUUUUUUUUU